rnacentral:tRNA from 1 species
GAGGGUAUAGCUCAGUGGUAGAACGCACUCUUAGCACGCACGAGGUUCCUGGGUUCAAUCCCCAGUACCUCCA